rnacentral:rRNA from 1 species
AAUGAACGCUGGCGGCAUGCCUAACACAUGCAAGUCGAACGAAGGCUUCGGCCUUAGUGGCGCACGGGUGCGUAACGCGUGGGAAUCUGCCCCUUGGUUCGGAAUAACAGUUAGAAAUGACUGCUAAUACCGGAUGAUGACGUAAGUCCAAAGAUUUAUCGCCGAGGGAUGAGCCCGCGUAGGAUAGCUAGUUGGUGUGGUAAAGGCGCACCAAGGCGACGAUCCUUAGCUGGUCUGAGAGGAUGAUCAGCCACACUGAGACGGAGACACGGCCCAGACUCCUACGGGAGGCAGCAGUGGGGAAUAUUGGACAAUGGGCGAAAGCCUUAUCCAGCAAUGCCGCGUGAGUGAUGAAGGCCUUAGGGUUGUAAAGCUCUUUUACCCGGGAUGAUAAUGACAGUACCGGGAGAAUAAGCUCCGGCUAACUCCGUGCCAGCCGCCGCGGUAA